rnacentral:rRNA from 1 species
UGACCGCUGGCGGCAGGCCUACCACAUGCACGUCGAACGGUAACAGGAAACAGCUUGCUGUUUCGCUGACGAGUGGCGGACGGGUGAGUAAUGUCUGGGAAACUGCCUGAUGGAGGGGGAUAACUACUGGAAACGGUAGCUAAUACCGCAUAACGUCGCAAGACCAAAGAGGGGGACCCUCGGGCCUCUUGCCAUCGGAUGUGCCCAGAUGGGAUUAGCUUGUUGGUGGGGUAACGGCUCACCAAGGCGACGAUCCCUAGCUGGUCUGAGAGGAUGACCAGCCACACUGGAACUGAGACACGGUCCAGACUCCUACGGGAGGCAGCAGUGGGGAAUAUUGCACGAUGGGCGCAAGCCUGAUGCAGCCAUGCCGCGUGUAUGAAGAAGGCCUUCGGGUUGUAAAGUACUUUCAGCGGGGAGGAAGGGAGUAAAGUUAAUACCUUUGCUCAUUGACGUUACCCGCAGAAGAAGCACCGGCUAACUCCGUG